GACGAACGCUGGCGGCGUGCCUAAUACAUGCAAGUCGAGCGGACGAAUCGAAAGCUUGCUUUUGAUUCGUUAGCGGCGGACGGGUGAGUAACACGUGGGCAACCUGCCCUGUAGACGGGGAUAACACCGAGAAAUCGGUGCUAAUACCGGAUAACACGAAAUGUCGCAUGACGUUUCGUUGAAAGACGGCGCAAGCUGUCGCUACAGGAUGGGCCCGCGGCGCAUUAGCUAGUUGGUGAGGUAACGGCUUACCAAGGCGACGAUGCGUAGCCGACCUGAGAGGGUGAUCGGCCACACUGGGACUGAGACACGGCCCAGACUCCUACGGGAGGCAGCAGUAGGGAAUCUUCCGCAAUGGACGAAAGUCUGACGGAGCAACGCCGCGUGAGCGAAGAAGGCCUUCGGGUCGUAAAGCUCUGUUGUUAGGGAAGAACAAGUAACGCAGUAACUGGCGUUACCGUGACGGUACCUAACGAGAAAGCCACGGCUAACUACGUG
rnacentral:rRNA from 1 species